rnacentral:lncRNA from 1 species
UGGGAAUAAAGGAAUAAUCAGUCCACUGGUUCCUUUGUGAUUUCUCAGCACAGUGUCAGCCUGGUGGAACCUCUCUUAAGAUCACCAGCAGUUUGAAGGUAGCCAGGAUUGCAGGUUUUUUCUUUCCUCGGGGAAGAGUCUACCUUACUUAUUUUUUAUUGUCAUAAGCAUCUUUAUUCCGUUAAAGGCAUAAAUGCGAAUCAACAUUUCCAACAAGAGCUCAAAUCCUAAACUGGAAGUCCAGAGAAUUCACGUCUCUCGCAGAAUCCUUUUCCUUUCAGUUCUCCUUUUUCUCCCGUGUUCGUUAUUGUGACCAAAUUCAUCAAAGACUGGUUUCCACUCCCUAGACCAGGCCUCCCCAAGAAACAGCCCCCGCUCCAUAAUCUCCAGCGCCCCCUCGCCGGGCUACCCCAGUCAGUCAAGAAAGAACUCGGCUUACUACGUUUAAACGCGGUCUUAAGACACACGUCCCCUUCGCCCCAUUUCCAAUCAUUAAAUUUCUGCUACGUGGGACCUCCGAGACCACGGCUGCCCUGAGGGCAGGAGCCACCGUGGCUUCUUUGUCACCAUGUCCCCGACACCAGGCCCAGGAAUCCAUGCCAGGGCUGGAGGAACGUCGGCCCGCGACCGACAAGCCGAGUGGGGAGCUGAGACUGUAGCCCAGACUUCCAAAUACUCCUCUUGGUCCUUGGUACAGAGAAAAACG